CACUGAUGCACAGGCGGAAGCUAUGGGUCCACGUUGCUAGGAUGAGUGAGGAACAUGCCAACAGGCUGCUUGCAAUUUGCCCCCUCUCUUCUCUGCCCCAGAACCACGCAGUGUCGGAGGCAGCGGUCUCUGAGAAGCGUAACUUUUCCCUGGGGGGGCGCUGGGUCCAGGGAGAUGCGCUUCUAAGCUCCAUCUUCCAAGAAGGUUUCAUCAGCAACAAAGCUGAUGUUUUCGUCUCCAUCUGUCUGACUUUCUGCCUAUCCGAUUAUCUCCCCAGAGGGGCAAGUCGUCAUUUAUUUUUAAGGGUGGCAUACCUUCAUUUCCAGAACGCCAGCCUUUCAUGCAGUAUCGUAUGAGAAGCUCAAAUCUAACAAGAAAGGUAAGCUCCAUGAUUUAAUUGGCUAUAGAUCUAACCAACUGUCCUGCUCAUUCCGCUGAACUUAUUAAAGCUGGUAAGAACUACAGCAGGGAACGGACCCAGGCAGUCAAGAAGACACAGGCUGCGAUCUCAAGCCGACACGCUAAUCUGUAUUCACCUGAUGGAAUGCCAGGUAGCCGUUAGAGAUGAUGGCACAUCACUGACACGGAAAAGUAUUUGUGAUUUCUUGUUACGUACAAGUAUAUAAUGCAACAUAGCAUGUCUAGUGUAGUGAUGAUUUGGUAGCACACAUUCACAUACCAACAUAGGAUUUUUUCUGAAAUUAACAUGGAUUCCUUUUGGGAUCAGAACUAGACGCAAACACUUAUUUGUAAGCCUUUUAUGAGUGGUUAAUGACAUCAUACAGUAAAAGCAAGAAUGAAAGGUGUCAGUUGCAUAUGUUAUAAAAUAGUGAUCUCCAAUUUUGAAGUCAUAAAUCGCCCUGCUAAUGGGCCUUUCCAACUGAUGUCCUCCUCUGCCUCUGGUUAGUGUGUCUCAUGGACGGACACACACACACACACACACACACACACACACACACACACACA